UUCUCUGCUGUGUGAAGAGAAUAUAAGGCCAGGUGCACAAAGAGAGGGGCAUUCAGAAAACCUCUGAUCUUCAGCUCUACACCAGCCUGAGACCUCCACCUGUGACCACAACCAGCCACCUACUUUAGCAGCAGCAGAGAUGGGGAACACCAUGCAUGUGUCCAAUGAGACUGCAAGGCCCCUGCGCGUCUACUACAGCAAAGACCCGAUCGGAGGCGCUGCCUUGACUAUGAAACACGCCUCCAGGGGCUUGAUGUUCAAAGAAAACGCUCCUGCCAAAUUUGUGCAGAUCCCUCCCAAAAGUUACGUCAGCUGUUCCUCAAAUCAGCCAAUGUAUGUCAUUGUGUAUUACGAGGACUCUGUGCAGAUGACAGACAGUGCCUAUGUUGACACUGAUCACUCUGUUGUUUUCAGUGAUGCAGGGAAAUGCAUGCUCUCAAAUGCUGGUCAAAUUUCAGUGGAUUAGCCUGAAAGACACAGCCAGUGUCACCAUGCUGUACCACGCUGUGCAAAAGCUGAAGAUCUUUCAGUGACCGAAAGACUUCCACUUAUAUCACAGCAGACAUGAUUGGCAUUUGGUGGAUGGUGUUCAAAUAUCUGUAAACCUUUCAUCUUUUUUUGUUCUGCUGCUUAAUAAACUGAAGCAAUCACAAAACCA